CCUACGGUGGCAUCAGUGGGGAAUAUUGGGCAAUGGGCGCAAGCCUGACCCAGCAACGCCGCGUGAAGGAAGAAGGCUUUCGGGUUGUAAACUUCUUUUAUCAGGGACGAAGCAAGUGACGGUACCUGAUGAAUAAGCCACGGCUAACUACGUGCCAGCAGCCGCGGUCAUACGUAGGUGGCCAGCGUUAUCCGGAUUUACUGGGUGUAAAGGGCGUGUAGGGGGGAGUGCAAGUCAGAUGUGAAAACUAUGGGCUCAACCCAUAGCCUGCGGUUGAAACUGGACGUCUUGAGUGCUGGAGAGGCAAGCGGAAUGCGGAGUGUAGCGGUGAAAUGCGUAGAUAUACGGAGGAACACCAGUGGCGAAGGCAGAUUGCUGGACAGUAACUGACGCUGAGGCGCGAAAGCGUGGGGAGCAAACAGGAUUAGAUACCCGGGUAGUC
rnacentral:rRNA from 1 species